CUUCAUAAAAUUGUAACUAUUUAGAAAAGUUCUCUAAAGAAUAUGCCAUUAUAUAGAAAAAAGUAUGCUCUUUCGUUUGGCAUGGUCAGAUGUUCGAAUAUGCCAUUAUAUAGAAAAAAGUAUGCUCUUUCGUUUGGCAUGGUCAGAUGUUCGAAAAUCGGCUUAGAAAUAUCACUUUUUUUCAAUUUAUUAUUGAAAAAACCGUGAAAAUUCGCUAUCGAACGAUACUAAAAUUUUCUCUAUAUUCUUCAUAAAAUUUUAACUAUUUAGAA